CGGGGGGGGCGGAAGCGUUGUUUCGGAAUUACUGGGCGUAAAGGGCUCGUAGGCGGCCAACUAAGUCAGACGUGAAAUCCCUCGGCUUAACCGGGGAACUGCGUCUGAUACUGGAUGGCUUGAGUUUGGGAGAGGGAUGCGGAAUUCCAGGUGUAGCGGUGAAAUGCGUAGAUAUCUGGAGGAACACCGGUGGCGAAGGCGGCAUCCUGGACCAACACUGACGCUGAGUGAGCGAAAGCCAGGGGAGCAAACGGG
rnacentral:rRNA from 1 species